UCCCUCACCUCCCCGUUCCCCACCCCGCUCCCUCGCCCUGCAUCCCGCUCCCGCCUCAGCCCGACAAGUGAAGCGGCAGCUCCAGCCACCGCGCGCCCCCUCCUCGCACAUCCCGAGGGAGGCACCUGCCCGCGUCACCCCUGCCUGAGGUUAACCGGGAGGUUCAAUGGGAUCCAAGUUUAGGCGUUUUAAAUUGUUAGGACCCUUCCUUUAAACUGACUUCUGGGAAAAAAAAAAAAAAAAGAAAAAGCCCCAAAACUCCAUGCUGCUCGACAUCAGCCACGCCGAUGCCAUGGUGCAGUCAGGAGUGAACCCGCCUCGUCUUUCCCCAGCUCCCUCUGCAGUCCAGGGAACGUGAGGAAAAGAAGGUUUGCUUGUUUCCCCAGUAAAUGCUUCCAAAGGAAUUCACUGAGUUUAAUAAAAAAAAAUGUUACAAAUUA